UCAUCAGAAACUUCAGUGCACUCAGGAAUUGCAUAGGUCUCCGGUUUCAUUGAGUUUAUUGCCAGUCAUAUUUCAAAUCUGAAAUGGUACAGAACGGCUUUUAUCUUGUUUGGCUUCUGUUAUUGUUUGGGUUGGGCAACAGUGGAGCAUUGAAAGACCCUCAUCCAGAACAAUCGGAUCAGGAUCUUUUCUGGGGAGCGGAUCAGUAUGACUUUGCCAUCAUGCUGCGUGCCGGAGAUCUCCAGUGCUUCUGGCACUUUGCUCACUAUGGUGAGCGCUUCUACUUACACUUCAUGGUCCAGCUGGUGACUGGUGUGGCCCUUGAUAGACAUCUGUCUGUGAUUGUUAAUGCCCCGAGCGGCUUAAUAGUCGGCACAGUUGACGAUGCAAGCGGUCAGAUUGUCUUCGCUGUUGCGGAGACUGGUUUUUAUCAGAUGUGCUUCAGCAAUUUCCACAAUCGCUUUGGGAGCAUGCAGGUUUUCCUGAACUUUGGAGUGUAUUACGAGGGACAAGAGAACAUCGAGAAACAAAAGGAAGAAGAGAAGAAAAAGAAAGAAGAAGAUAUGAAACAGAUAAACAGUACAUUGUCCUUCAUUGAGGAGAGCAGCAUCAGGCUGCAGAAGUUUGUCUUCCACAUGUGGCGUCACUACAACUACGAGCGGAUGAGACGAGGAGCUGAUUUCUACCUGCUUCAGUCCAACUCCACUUAUGUGAACAUCUGGUCUGCUGUCCAGAGUCUCGUCAUCAUCACCGCUGGAUACCUGCAGCUCAGCUUCCUCAAGAGGCUCUUCAAGAGCAAACCAGCAGAGGGCGACAAACCCCGCUGUUAACAAACACUAAACCUGCGACUGGUUCACCUCCAUUUAUAACCUGCUCUUAAAUAAUUCAUACACGGCUGUUUCUUCAACAUUAGAAUUGUUUUAAUGUAUAAUGGGUUUAUUUUUUGUUAUAACAAGGUCUCAUUUAAUUUUUUUUUUUUUUUUAAUUCUUUUCAAAUGCUUUUUAUGCAGAGAUUUAAUUAUUUUGCCCUUGUCCCAGAAAGAGACUUUAGAAUAUUAAAGGUUUAGUUCACCCAAAAAUGAAAAUUCUGUCAUUAAUUACUCACCCUCAUGUCAUUUCAAACCCGUAAGACUUUUGUUCAUCUUCAGAACACAAAUGAAGAUCUUUUUAAUGAAAUGGAUUUCUGUCUCUCCAUUGAACUACCACUUUUCUGCUUCAAAAAGUUUAUAAAGAGAUCCAUCU